rnacentral:rRNA from 1 species
AAAGCUCUUUUGUCAGGGAAGAAACGGGAUGUCCUAAUACGAUGUCCUAAUGACGGUACCUGAAGAAUAAGCACCGGCUAACUACGUGCCAGCAGCCGCGGUAAUACGUAGGGUGCAAGCGUUAAUCGGAAUUACUGGGCGUAAAGCGUGCGCAGGCGGUUAUGUAAGACAGGUGUGAAAUCCCCGGGCUUAACCUGGGAAUGGCAUUUGUGACUGCAUAGCUAGAGUGUGUCAGAGGGGGGUAGAAUUCCACGUGUAGCAGUGAAAUGCGUAGAGAUGUGGAGGAAUACCGAUGGCGAAGGCAGCCCCCUGGGAUAACACUGACGCUCAUGCACGAAAGCGUGGGGAGCAAACAGGAUUAGAUACCCUGGUAGUCCACGCCCUAAACGAUGUCUACUAGUUGUCGGGUCUUAAUUGACUUGGUAACGCAGCUAACGCGUGAAGUAGACCGCCUGGGGAGUACGGUCGCAAGAUUAAAACUCAAA